GACGAACGCUGGCGGCGUGCCUAAUACAUGCAAGUCGAGGGACCGGCGCACGGGUGAGUAACACGUAUCCAACCUGCCCUUUACUCGGGGAUAGCCUUUCGAAAGAAAGAUUAAUACCCGAUAUAAAGGCUGGGGAUGCGUUCCAUUAGGUUGUUGGUGAGGUAACGGCGAACCAAGCCUUCGAUGGAUAGGGGUUCUGAGAGGAAGGUCCCCCACAUUGGAACUGAGACACGGUCCAAACUCGUACGGGAGGCAGCAGUGAGGAAGAUUGGUCAAUGGGCGCUAGCCUGAACCAGCCAAGUAGCGUGAAGAAUGACGGCUUAUGGGUCGUAAACUUCUUUUAUAUAAGAAUAUGUAUUAUAUGAAUAAGGAUCGGCUAACUCCGUGCCAGCAGCCGCGGUAAUAC
rnacentral:rRNA from 1 species